rnacentral:rRNA from 1 species
UACGUAGGGUGCAAGCGUUAAUCGGAAUUACUGGGCGUAAAGCGUGCGCAGGCGGUUGUGCAAGACAGAUGUGAAAUCCCCGGGCUCAACCUGGGAACUGCAUUUGUGACUGCACGGCUGGAGUGCGGCAGAGGGGGAUGGAAUUCCGCGUGUAGCAGUGAAAUGCGUAGAUAUGCGGAGGAACACCGAUGGCGAAGGCAAUCCCCUGGGCCUGAACUGACGCUCAUGCACGAAAGCGUGGGGAGCAAACAGG